AAAUGUUGAGGUUCUUCGGAGAUACCAUGUUGGUGACUGGGGUACAUAGGUAAGUGUGUGUGUGUGUGUGAGCACAUGCAUAUCUGUAUCUGUGUGUUUGUUUUCUCUCUUUCAUCUUGAAAUUUUAUAUAAGUUCUGUCAAAAUUAUUUAUUUUUUGAUGAGGCUUAGUAAUGGGUUGUCCCAUUUUAUGAGUAAACCUUUUCAUUUGGAUCAAAAUAAUUUCUUGGGUGAAAUAGUGGUUUUAAGUUCUUCAGUGCCUUUUCCCUCCUUGAUAUGUGAUUGGAGAAGGAACUCCAACAGGCCCUUAUUGUGUUAAGUGGAAAAAUUAUAAUUUUUUAUUGAUUAUUGCUGCUCUAGAAGGUGAUAAUAUUAUGACCUAUGUGUUGUCUGAAUUAUGAAAGUCUAUUUUGAUAAUUUUUUUGUUGCUUUCCUAUUAUGUCUUAAAGAUGUAAUUUAUGUUCUGCAGUUUGGUAUGCUAAUUGAAUUUCUGUUCGAAAAAUUUCCAAACGUGGUGGUUGUCAAUGAUCAAGCUAUCGGAGAUCUCAAGGUGAGAUAAAUUUUUUGGAAAUUAGGUGAAAUUCUUGAAUUUGUACAGACGGAAUACUUCUUCAUGUUACUUGAAUAUUUUUUGAUGCUACGUUCAAGCAACAAAGUCCCUUGCUUAUAUUAGCAAACAAUUCAAGUAACUAGUUGCUUGUGCUGCUUUGAGCAACUUAUGCCUUCGCUGUAGACAACUAAUUAGCACGAUUCAAUUUUUUUUUCAUUGAAAUGAAUCAUGAAAUUCAACGAAAGUGGGUAUUAUUGAUUUAACUUGAAUGCUAUCAUUAGGCAUUCUAUAAGGCAUCAAAACAAAGACUUGACAGUGAUCUUGAAUUUAAGAAGAGGGCACAACAAGCGGUGGUCAGUCUCCAGGGUGAGGAAGAGAAGUAUCGGAAGGCAUGGGCACAAAUCUGUGAAAUCAACCAAAGGGGAUAUCAAAGAGUUUAUCAACUUCUAGGAAUUAAAGAUAGAGAAGAUGCAACUCCUUUUGAGUAUGUGAUGAUAUCUUAACAUCAAUACUAGAGCUUACUGUUGAUAUUAAAACAAACUAUAAUAUAUAUGUUUUUUUAUUUGUAUUGUCGAUACUUUUGUUUUGCUUUAGAUACAAAAAUUUAAGCUCUUCAAUAUAAAAAAUUAUUAGUAUUGUUGGAGGUUGGUUUAUAUAUUUUUGUAAAGAAUAUUUGGUUGACAAUUAUUACA